ACAGAUUUUGGGACUUCUUUUACCAUUCGAUUCCGGGACCAAACUCAACAGAGGCUCUCGAAUCGAAAGCAGGUUCGGCCGACGUCGAGGCGUGGCCUCCAGGACAAAAGACAGCUGGCAAGGUGCUAAACGCGUUCCCAGUUGGUUGGACCGUUCUGUCGAGUGACGGAUCCGGAAUGUUGACGGGAGUUCUAAUUUUUCUGCAACUUGGGAACUAUUUCGAUCGUGGAUUGCGUAUGGUCCACGUGCUGCCGGGGGUUCUAGUCCGGCCACAAUUUACAAGAAGGAGGAACACCACCGCACUCGGGUCAGCUGAUGACCAAGGGUACACACUCCCAGCUCAGUUUGAUGGCAGGUGCUAAGGUGAUUCUAUAUUGGCCCGACGGCAGUCCGAUUUGUCGUGGUUGGAUACAGAAAGUGCGCGAAAAGGUGUAAUGGAGUCUCGUAGUUCCUGUGAAAGUUCGAUCCAGCAAGAGGUCGAAAUCGGCCGGAGUCUACGUCCGAGUACAAAUUUAACGACGACGUGCAGGGUGUCCGACGAAGUGGCUGCGGUGAAAGCGGAAGACAUUUCUGGAGUUUUUUUUUAAAAAAAAGGUCCAAUAAAUC